rnacentral:lncRNA from 1 species
GGUUUGUAUGGAGAAGCGAUCAAGAUUGGCUUACAAGCCUGUGGCAACUUUCGAUAUUUUAUUUUUAUUUUUUCUUUCUGUGGGUGAGCCUGUUGAAUUAAGUUAAGAGAUCAGAAGAAACCUGUCAUUGUUUUGCACCAUUUCCCUCUCAAGAGGAGAAAAGGAGAGAACUUUAGACGAAGCAUGGUUGUUCUGCCUCUAUUCAUGCUGCAGCUUCUAUGGCAGGUACCACCUUCAUCCUCCAAUAUGCCGGAUCCCUCGG